GCAGCAUAAAUUACUUGUAAUUUGAUGGCGACCGGCGAACGGGUGCGUAACGCGUAUGCAACUUACCUUUUACUAGAGAAUAGCCAAGAGAAAUUUUGAUUAAUGCUCUAUACACUUAUUAAUUCUCAUGAAUCUAUAAGAAAAGCUCCGGCGGUAAAAGAUGGGCAUGCGUCCUAUUAGCUUGUAGGUGAGGUAACGGCUCACCUAAGCUCCGAUAGGUAGGGGUCCUGAGAGGGAGAUCCCCCACACUGGUACUGAGACACGGACCAGACUUCUACGGAAGGCAGCAGUAAGGAAUAUUGGACAAUGGAGGCAACUCUGAUCCAGCCAUGCCGCGUGAAGGAAGACGGCCUUAUGGGUUGUAAACUUCUUUUAUACAGGAAGAAACCUUUCCACGUGUGGAAAGCUGACGGUACUGUAAGAAUAAGGAUC
rnacentral:rRNA from 1 species